UACGGGGGGAGCAAGCGUUGUUCGGAUUUACUGGGCGUAAAGGGCGCGUAGGCGGCCAGCACAAGUCAGUUGUGAAAUCUCCGGGCUUAACUCGGAAAGGUCAACUGAUACUGUGCGGCUAGAGUGCAGAAGGGGCAACUGGAAUUCUCGGUGUAGCGGUGAAAUGCGUAGAAUAUCUGGAGGAACACCGGUGGCGAAGGCGGCGAUCCUGGUCCAGCACC
rnacentral:rRNA from 1 species